CACGUAGGGCGCAAGCGUUGUCCGGAAUUAUUGGGCGUAAAGAGCUCGUAGGUGGUUUGUUACGUCUGCUGUGAAAACCUAGGGCUUAACCCUGGGCUUGCAGUGGAUACGGGCAGACUAGAGGUAAGUAGGGGAGAAUGGAAUUCCUGGUGUAGCGGUGAAAUGCGCAGAUAUCAGGAGGAACACCGGUGGCGAAGGCGGUUCUCUGGGCCUUACCUGACACUGAGGAGCGAAAGCGUGGGGAGCGAACAGG
rnacentral:rRNA from 1 species